UAAUUGGUGGUUGAUUGGUUAGUUGUUCUGUAACGUGAUUGGCUGUGGGGCGGGACCUAGAGGACGCAGGUACAAUGAUUGACAGGUUCCCGCAUCACGGACUGUAACCAAUUUAAAAGCUGUUUUGUAACUUAAAUGGCAAAUACCACGAAGACUCCGCCGUUGUGUGACUUAGCAUAACAGGCUAACUAGCUAGCCUGAGGAGGGAAGGAGGAGGAAGCCACGCUCGGCCUCGCCGCGUGGACUAACGGUUGUUGCUCCGCGUUUAGCCGGCAGCCUGCCCACAGACCUCCACACCUACACCGGCCCCUGCAGCCCGGAGGUCCCGCUCUGGACGCCGACGCAGCCUAAAUUGUUCCCCAACCUCUGUGGCCCAGACAUGAGGGAACCACCGUUAUUGGUGAAGUUUGAAGUGUAAAAGAGCCAGUGAUAAGACCGAAGAAGAGCCUACGACUACCAAGAAAAGUGAAGUAAAAUACCAGGAGUCCUACUUAAAUCACGGACUUAUUGCAACACAUGCAGCGACGGCUCUGAUGAAGCAAUGAAGCCUUUGUGUUAUGAGGAAGCUGCUAAUAAAGUUGCAUACCUUGUGAA